rnacentral:rRNA from 1 species
CAACAGGGAUUGCCCUAGUAACGGCGAGUGAAGCGGCAACAGCUCAAAUUUGAAAUCUGGCUUUCGGGCCCGAGUUGUAAUUUGUAGAGGAUGAUUUUGAUGCGGUGCCUUCCGAGUUCCCUGGAACGGGACGCCAUAGAGGGUGAGAGCCCCGUCUGGUUGGAUGCCAAAUCUCUGUAAAUCUCCUUCGACGAGUCGAGUAGUUUGGGAAUGCUGCUCUAAAUGGGAGGUAUAUGUCUUCUAAAGCUAAAUACCGGCCAGAGACCGAUAGCGCACAAGUAGAGUGAUCGAAAGAUGAAAAGCACUUUGAAAAGAGAGUUAAAAAGUACGUGAAAUUGUUGAAAGGGAAGCGUUUAUGACCAGACUUGGGCUUGGUUAAUCAUCUGGGGUUCUCUCCAGUGCACUUUUCCAGCCCAGGCCAGCAUCAGUUUUCGCCGGGGGAUAAAGACUUCGGGAAUGUGGCUCCCCUCGGGGAGUGUUAUAGCCCGUUGUGUAAUACCCUGGUGGGGACUGAGGUUCGCGCUUCUGCAAGGAU